AACGAACGCUGGCGGCAUGCCUAACACAUGCAAGUCGAACGAAGUCUUCGGACUUAGUGGCGCACGGGUGCGUAACGCGUGGGAAUCUGCCCUUGGGUGCGGAAUAACUUCUCGAAAGGGAUGCUAAUACCGCAUAAUGUCGUAAGACCAAAGAUUUAUCGCCCAAGGAUGAGCCCGCGUAAGAUUAGCUAGUUGGUGGGGUAAAAGCCUACCAAGGCGACGAUCUUUAGCUGGUCUGAGAGGAUGAUCAGCCACACUGGGACUGAGACACGGCCCAGACUCCUACGGGAGGCAGCAGUGGGGGAAUAUUGGACAAUGGGCGAAAGCCUGAUCCAGCAAUGCCGCGUGAGUGAUGAAGGCCCUAGGGUUGGUAAAGACUCUUUUACCCGUAGAUGAUAAUA
rnacentral:rRNA from 1 species